rnacentral:rRNA from 1 species
UAACGUAGGGUGCAAGCGUUGUCCGGAAUUAUUGGGUCGUAAAGAGCUCGUAGGCGGUUUGUCGCGUCUGCUGUGAAAACUCGGGGCUUAACCCCGGGCCUGCAGUGGGUACGGGCAGACUAGAGUGCGGUAGGGGAGACUGGAAUUCCUGGUGUAGCGGUGAAAUGCGCAGAUAUCAGGAGGAACACCGGUGGCGAAGGCGGGUCUCUGGGCCGAUACUGACGCUGAGGAGCGAAAGCGUGGGGAGCGAACAGG